rnacentral:rRNA from 1 species
UGGAGAAUAUUGGACAAUGGGCGCAAGCCUGAUCCAGCAAUGCCGCGUGUGUGAAGAAGGCCUUCGGGUUGUAAAGCACUUUUAUCAGGAGCGAAACGCUGUCGGCUAAUACCCGGCGGAACUGACGGUACCUGAGGAAUAAGCACCGGCUAACUUCGUGCCAGCAGCCGCGGUAAUACGAAGGGUGCAAGCGUUAAUCGGAAUUACUGGGCGUAAAGCGUGCGUAGGCGGUUUCUUAAGUCUGCUGUGAAAUCCCCGGGCUCAACCUGGGAAUGGCAGUGGAUACUGGGAGGCUAGAGUGUGUCAGAGGGUGGUGGAAUUCCCGGUGUAGCGGUGAAAUGCGUAGAGAUCGGGAGGAACAUCAGUGGCGAAGGCGGCCACCUGGGACAACACUGACGCUGAGGCACGAAAGCGUGGGGAGCAAACAGGAUUAGAUACCCUGGUAGUCCACGCCCUAAACGAUGCGAACUGGAUGUUGGUCUCAACUCGGAGAUCAGUGUCGAAGCUAACGCGUUAAGUUCGCCGCCUGGGGAGUACGGUCGCAAGACU